GACGAACGCUGGCGGCGUGCUUAACACAUGCAAGUCGAACGCGCCUGUCCUCUGGGUUUCUGGGGGGUGGGUGAGUGGCGAACGGGUGAGUAACACGUGAGUAACCUGCCCCCUUCUUCGGGAUAACGGUCUGAAAGGGCUGCUAAUACCGGGUAUUCACUGGUCUCCGCAUGGGGUCUGGUGGAAAGGUUUUUUUCUGGUGGGGGAUGGGCUCGCGGCCUAUCAGCUUGUUGGUGGGGUGAUGGCCCACCAAGGCUUUGACGGGUAGCCGGCCUGAGAGGGUGACCGGGCACAGUGGGGCUGAGAUACGGCCCAGACUCCUACGGGAGGCAGCAGUGGGGAAUAAUGCACAAUGGGCGCAAGCCUGAUGCAGCGACGCCGCGUGAGGGAUGGAGGCCUUCGGGUUGUGAACCUCUUUCGCCCGUGGUCAAGCCGCGACGUGGGUCGUGGUGAGGGUAGUGGGUAAAGAAGCGCCGGCUAACUACGUG
rnacentral:rRNA from 1 species